rnacentral:rRNA from 2 species
CAAAGGAAUUGACGGGGACCCGCACAAGCGGUGGAGCAUGUGGUUUAAUUCGAAGCAACGCGAAGAACCUUACCAACUCUUGACAUCCCCCUGACCGGUACAGAGAUGUACCUUCCCCUUCGGGGGCAGGGGUGACAGGUGGUGCAUGGUUGUCGUCAGCUCGUGUCGUGAGAUGUUGGGUUAAGUCCCGCAACGAGCGCAACCCUUGUCCUUAGUUGCCAGCAUUUAGUUGGGCACUCUAAGGAGACUGCCGGUGACAAACCGGAGGAAGGUGGGGAUGACGUCAAAUCAUCAUGCCCCUUAUGAGUUGGGCUACACACGUGCUACAAUGGACGGUACAAAGGGCAGCGAAGCCGCGAGGUGGAGCCAAUCCCAGAAAGCCGUUCUCAGUUCGGAUUGCAGGCUGCAACUCGCCUGCAUGAAGUCGGAAUCGCUAGUAAUCGCAGGUCAGCAUACUGCGGUGAAUACGUUCCCGGGUCUUGUACACACCGCCCGUCACACCACGAGAGUUUGUAACACCCGAAGUCGGU